UUCUAAUAAUUUUAUUAUUAUUGAUUAAACUAUUUAGAUUUUGAUAUAGUCAAUUUUUAUUAUUGAAAUUAUGAUGAAAUAUUUUUAUAAAAUUAAAAGAAUAAAAUAUGUGUAUAUUAGCUACAAAAGGAAAGAAAAAAUUAUUAUUGAUAUUAAUAUUUAAAAUUUUAUAUAGUUAUUUUUAAGUAGUGUUUCUAAUAAUUUUAUUAUUAUUGAUUAAACUAUUUAAAUUUUGAUAUAGUCAAUUUUUAUUAUAGAAAUUAUGAUGAAAUAUUUUUUAUAAAAUUAAAAGAAUAAAAUAUGUGUAUAGCUACAAAAGGAAAUAAUAUAGAAAUUAUAAUGAAAUACUUUUAUAAAAUUAAAAGAAUAAAAUAUGUGUACUACAAGAGGAAAUAAAAAGAAAUAAAAAGCUUCUAAAAGUUGAACCGAUGAGCAAAACCCUUCGUCCUCAGCAAAAACCGCCGCCGCAUUUCAAUCUCUGCCGCAUUGUGACCGCCGCCGCAUCCUCCUCCAUUGUGACCACCGCCGCGUUUCAAUCUCCA
rnacentral:lncRNA from 1 species